ACAGAGACAGGCGGAAGGACUGCCGUUUAAAAUCGGUUCAUGGAAAGGUCUGAAGGACGGUGGCCUUGAGGGGCAGGACAGUUACCGGAGUUACAGAAUCAUCCUCUGGAGCUGUCAGUUUGACUACAAGCAUGCCCUACAGGAAUGCAAAAGCGCAAUAAAAAGUAAUGAAGACAGUCGGAGGAAGCAACUGAGUCCCCUUUUGAGAGAGUCUAAGAAACCAAGCAUUUCUGUGACAAGACAGACACAGCAUCAGAAACAGAAGCUCUACACUCUAGAAACCAGCACCCAUCUAAACUUUUGAUCUUCAGUCAAGUCCUCACCAUUCCAAGGAUGAGAAACCUACCGGUAACAGUACUGCCUCAAAGUCAUGACCUAUUUAGUGCUUGGUAUUAAGUUGGAUGGAUGGGCAUAAGCAACCGCCAUUAAUUUUCUCACUUCUGAAAAAGGAAAAAAAAAAAACCCAAACCCAAACCUUCACUAACAGACAACACAAUCUUAAAAGACAAUGACAAUUUUAACACAUUCAGUGGUAAAGAUUUUGAGCCACACAUUUUAGAUGUAAUUGCUCUGCUCAGGCAGUGUUUAUAAGUGGAAUUCAUUAGCAG